CAAGAGGAUUCUUCCAACAUGGAUAUUUUACAUAUUGAAACAGAUAUAACAAGUUAUGUUAUAUCUGGAAAAACAUUAAAAUAUGUUUGCAGAACUUGUUUACAAAAUCAAAAUAAUAUGUUAUCAAUAUUUUCACGCAAUGAAGAUGUUCAUAAAACACAUGCUGAAAUUUUAAUGGCAUUCACUCCCAUCAACAUUUCAGAAAAUGAUGGCCAUUCAAAUUAUAUUUGUUCUACCUGCGUUGAAUUCAUUGUUUCGGUCUACACAUUUCAACAACAUUGUAUCCAAGUUGAUGCAAUUUUACGAUUUGCCGCUGUAAACAUUAGCCAAGAGGAUGAAACCUCCGUAAACGAUACUAAAACCGACCAUUCAAAGGAAUUGAAUUCUACAAAAAUGGAAUUAACAACGCCCGAAAAUGUUUUAAAGAUUUUUUCAGUGGAAUUAAGCGAUAAAAAAAUUGAAUUAAAAGAAGAAACGUCUGAAAAAGAAGAAUCGAUAAUUUGUGAAAUUUGUGGAGAUGAAUUACUUGACGGAGAAAAUUUAAACGAACAUAUAAAAAAUCAUAAAAAUAAUUUACCCUGUGAUAUUAAAAAUGAAAACAAAAAAACUGAAAAUGCAACGUCUUAUACGUGCACAUUUUGUGAUAUAUCGUUCAAAUCAAGGCCAAAUUUAAAAACACAUGAAAUCAAAUGGCAUCCAGAAAUGCGUAAUAUAAAAACUGAAUACAAUUGUGAAAUAUGUGGUCGAAUAUUUUCCACACGUAGCAGUUUAAACCAACAUUGUAUUACCCAUAAUAAUAAUUCGAAAUAUGAAUGUGAUUGUGGGAAAAAAUUCAAACGCUAUAGUAGUUUGAUCUUACAUAAACGAUCAUCACAUUCGGCUAUUCGACCCUAUCAAUGUAAUGAAUGUGGGAAAACGUUUGCCCAAAAUGUUGUACUUAAAAAUCAUAAAUUAACACAUAACGGAGAUAAACCGUAUAAAUGUAAUUAUUGUGAGAAACAUUUUCGUCAAAAACCGCAUGUACAAUCGCAUGAAUUAAUACAUACGGGUGGUAAACCGUAUCAUUGUUUAAUAUGUGGUAAACAAUUUCGUCAUCAAAAUUCACUUAUACAUCAUAAUCGUAUUCACACCGGAGAGAAUCCAUUUCAUUGUCCAGUAUGUAAUCGUGGUUUUUAUCAUUCAACAAAUAUGAAAAAACAUUUACUGUCACACACUAAAAAUAAGAAAGCAAGGUGAUAAUAAUAAUAAUAAUAAAUAGCCUGAUUUAGCUCCCUUGGGCAAAGGCCUCCCCUAGUACAUUUCACGAUUUUCUAUUUUUAGCCGUUCUGCUCCACAAAUCUCCUGCAUACCUUGUAAUUUCAUUUCUCCACCUAGUUGGUGGCCGACCUCUUUUACGUGCUAGAUUUAAUGGUACCCAUGAUGUAUAUCUAGUCGAUUAUCGUUUAGCCUUGAAACAUACCCAGCCCAUUUCCACUUCAAUUUUUUGAUACAGACAAUUACGUCCUUGACAUUUGUUAUUGAUCUAAUAGUAUUAGAUCUAACCUUAUUAGCAAGCCUAUCUCUUAUUUGUCGAUUUUUAUAAGGCUUUAGAUACUGUCGAACAUUGCUAUGUUUUAAAAUCUCUAAAAGCCUUGGGGUCCCUGAUAAGUUUACCCGAAUAAUAAAAAGUAUGAAGGGUGCACUGCACAGAUAAAAACGGAACGAUUAGGAGAAAAAUUUUCUUUACAACGCGGGGUUCGUCAAGGCGAUCCUUUGUCUGCGAAAUUGUUCAAUGCUGUUUUUAAUCAUGUUUUCAGUUUACUCGAUUGGCAUCGUUAUGGAAUAAAGGUCGAUGGGUUGAGAUUAUCAAACCUGAAAUUUGCGGAUGAUAUUGUCUUCUCUGACAAGAUACAUGAUUUACAAAUAAUGUUGAACCAACUAGCUCUUAGAAGUAAACUCGUAGGCCUAAAAAUUAAUGUCCAAAAAACAAAAUGGAUGUCAAAUGCAAACGAAGAUAAUCACAACCUUCGACUUAUUCUACAAAAUGAAACCAUAGAACGAGUGAAUGAGUUUAAAUAUCUGGGAAUAAAAGAGAAUAAUGAAUGCGUGGAGAAAAUUUUCCGAUAGAUAUCUUUAAAAGUAAACUGCACAUUUCUUUAAAAACAAAGGCCUGGAAUGCGUGUAUUCUACCGAUUUUAACGUACGGUACCCAAACCUCAGCGCUAACCGUCUCAAAUUAUAAAAAACUCAGGACAUGCCAAAGGAGUAUGGUCUAUGCUAAAUUACAGACUUACUAAUAAGAAAGCAAGGAUGUUUUGUAAUGGUAUGCCGAAGCAUGUUGAUGAAUAAAC